CCUACGGGGGGCAGCAGUAGGGAAUUUUCGGCAAUGGGGGGAACCCUGACCGAGCAACGCCGCGUGAACGAAGAAGUUAUUCGUAAUGUAAAGUUCUUUUAUCAGGGAAGAAAGAGGAAUUUGACGGUACCUGAGGAAUAAGCUCCGGCUAACUACGUGCCAGCAGCCGCGGUAAUACGUAGGGAGCGAGCGUUAUCCGGAAUUAUUGGGCGUAAAGGGUGCGUAGAUGGCAUAGUAAGUCUUUUGUAAAAAUGCUGGGCUCAACCCAGUAGGGCAAAAGAUACUGCAAAGCUAGAGUAUGACAGAGGCAAGUGGAACUACAUGUGUAGCGGUAAAAUGCGUAAAUAUAUGUAAGAACACCAGUGGCGAAGGCGGCUUGCUGGGUCGAUACUGACAUUGAGGCACGAAAGCGUGGGGAGCAAACAGGAUUAGAUACCCUUGU
rnacentral:rRNA from 1 species